rnacentral:rRNA from 1 species
AUUGAACGCUGGCGGCAGGCUUAACACAUGCAAGUCGAGCGAGUGGCGGACGGGUGAGUAAUGUCUGGGAAACUGCCUGAUGGAGGGGGAUAACUACUGGAAACGGUAGCUAAUACCGCAUACCAUCGGAUGUGCCCAGAUGGGAUUAGCUAGUAGGGGGGGUAAAGGCUCACAUAGGCGACGAUCCCUAGCUGGUCUGAGAGGAUGACCAGCAACACUGGAACUGAGACACGGUCAAGAUGCCUACGGGAGGCAGCAGUGGGAAAUAUUGCACAAUGGGCGCAAGCUUGAUGCAGACAGGCCGCGUGUAGGAAGAAGGCCUUCGGGUUGUAAAGUCCUUUCAGCGGGGAGGCGUUACCCGCAGAGGAAGCACCGGCUAACUCCGUGCCAGCAGCCGCGGUAAUUC